GAAACUAACUUUAAUAAAAUUUAUGUUUCAGGAACGGUUCUAUUAUUGUGGAUCACACUGUUAAAACCACAAAUGGGUCGCUAGAUGCUCUGAAUAAAACUUUGGCAAUUAUCGAAAAUCAAGGGCUGCAAGUUGGAAAUAAUACUUAUAAUACAACAGCAGUCUCACUACAAAGAGCAUAUAAUAGUACAACUCCAACAGAAGAAGAUUCUACAGAUUUAAUUCUCGGUCUUGGCAUUGGAAUUUCUGCAGCAGUUAUUUUACUGGUCAUAAUUCUGCUUUGCAUUUGGUUUAAAUGGAAAAAGAAAAAUACUGAAUGUCUUCUGAACACAUCAGAUAUUUUACAAGUAGAUAACACUUAUAUGGAUAACGCCCCAGGCUGGAAGAAGGAGAAUAUCGGCAUAAACAAAGAUUUCGAUUGGCACGAGGGACCUCAACAGAAAUCGUAUUUUGACUAUGUCCUCGAAAGUGAAGACCAAUUCAAAAUCCAGAGACCAAAUAUCCAACUAGAGUAAACUCCUUCCACUCGAUUGAAAAUGGACACGAUAACCAAGUUUGAAGAUUACACCAAUCAAUUUUUUUUUAUUUUGUGAUUUUUUUUUAUCGGAAAUUAAAAUUAAAUUAGAUAUAAUAAUUAAAAUGCAAAAUUAUAAAAAUAUUUUCGUUUAUCAAAAACGAAUAUUAACUGAACCAUUUAACCCAUGCAAGCGUGGGGUGGCAUUUAAAAUAUUACUAAAAUGAAUAAAUGCAUAAUAUUAUAAAAAUUGAUAACUUUACUUCACAUGUGGCAAUAAUAAAUUUAUCAAUCUAGAAGUUUCUCCCUCUUCAAAUAUUAGUGAAUAUACAAGCUAAAUCUGAAGAAACAGUAACUAAGUAUGUACUUAUAUCUAUAAUUUUAUCAAACAAUAAUAAAGUUUUGCACAAUUUCAAUACUUUCUCCCAAAGUAAAAGAUAGACUUUAUAUAAUUAAAACACAUUUAUUUAAUUCUUACUAUUAAUUUGUAAAUAUACUAGAUUGACAUAUGGCAUUAAUGUUCUGAAUCAAUUUUUAACUUAUUUUAAUCCUCAGCACACACCAGUUUCUUAAUUUUAGAAUAAAUAAUUAAAGAAAAUCACCUCAGAUUAUUAAUAGAAAUAUGAUGAAAUAUGUUAAUCUUCGUAAAGAAAAUGUGUUAAUUUCUCAUUUUUAACUUGAAAAAAGAGGAGUAUUCACUUAACAUUUAGAGUUAUAGAUAACAUUUCAAAGAUACUUGUAAAAUGUGUUUUUCAUGCAGCCCUUUAAUAUACUUCUUUGUACGAUAUGACUUAGAAAGUAAUGCAAUUAUUAUUUGCAUUACUUUUUGAUUCACACGCGUAAUAAGUUCUAUUAUUUCUCGAGAAAAGUCUAUGUAACAAAAAUAAAUCUAUAGAUAAAUAAAUAAAAUAUAACACUCUUUAUUACUCUUGUUAGAUAACGUUCAGUUCACGGCAUCCUAUUUUAAAUAAAUGAUUGAACAGUCCAGAAGAUUAACCAGAUAUUUAGUGCCACAUCUUUAGCUGCAAUAUUAUUACAUUGUAAUAUCUGUAUUAGCAUUUAUUAUAUGAAGCAGGGGAAAUGAAUGAAUGUUAAAACAAAGAUAUAUUCUUACAUUAAAAAUCAUGAUUUUACAACACCCAUUGUAUUACUAAUUUUAAAAUUAUAAUAAUUUUCUUAUGCGUUAAAUAACUUUUAGUAAAAAUCUUACGAAAUAUAUUUUUAAAUUUUGAUUAUGUAUCCAUAUAAAAUUUUGUAAGAUUUCAAUACAGGCUGGCCUGAUUAAAUAUAUUUUAUACUUCA